rnacentral:rRNA from 1 species
AUUGAACGCUGGCGGCAGGCCUAACACAUGCAAGUCGAGCGAGCGGCGGACGGGUGAGUAAUGUAUGGGGACUGCCCGAUAGAGGGGGAUAACUACUGGAAACGGUAGCUAAUACCGCAUACUAUCGGAUAACCCAUAUGGGAUUAGCUAGUAGGUGAGGUAAUGGCUCACCCAGGCGACGAGCCCUAGCUGGGCUGAGAGGAUGAGCAGCCACACUGGGACUGAGAAACGGCCCAGACGCCGACGGAGGCAGCAGGGGGGAAUAUUGCACAAUGGGCGCAAGCCUGAUGCAGCCAUGCCGCGGGUAUGAAGAAGGCCCUAGGGUUGUAAAGUACUUUCAGUCGGGAGGCGUUACCGACAGAAGAAGCACCGGCUAACUCCGUGCCAGCCGCCGCGGUAAUAC